AUAAAAAAAAAAAAAUAGAUAACAGUGAUGAGCGUCAGUGAAAAGUCCACGGGAGCAGUUUCAUUAUCCGUCGCGUGAUGGCAGGCUCUGUGUCGUCUGUUUGGGGGACGGUCAAGUUUUAUCGAUAGAAGAGUUGUUGGGAAUACCUCCAGCAAUACAGCCACUGCCCUUAUAGUGCUUAGAUGAAGGGGUCAGAGAUACACUGCUGGUCUCGGCGUCUUCCCGGAUGCUGAUCGACCCCUGCAUGUGUCCACUCCUUGGCGAGGCGCGGAGGCACAGGGACUUCAUCUUCGUCGCCGCCAUCGCUAUGGUAACUCGCUUCCUGGAAGGCAAAAAACGUGAUCUAGUUGAUGAAUACCUACUGGAAUACUAACUGAACUCAGGAUAGUGGAAUAACAAAUGUGGCGGACGUGGUACUGCAUGAUAAUGAGUCUGCCUGCCUGCUGGAGGGACCCACUCUACUAAUGUGAUGGGAUGGAAAAGCGAGAAGGUUCUCCCCCUCUUUCCACCAGACGAAAGAACAG